UUUUCUUCAGGACUCUAUUGAAUAUAUAUGAUUUUUUCCUCGUUUUUGUGAUGGUUCAUGUGUUUUUUGAUGUGAGUCUCCCAUUGAUGCUUUUGGUUUUAUGUGUUUGUGUUUUAUAAACUUUUUGUGUGUAUAAUAAAGAUUAUAUAGAAAUCAUGGCAUACAUAUUCUAGAAAAGGGAAAAUCAGUAUUUCUAAAGACUUUUUCCUUCGUAUUCCCUGCAUAUUUCUACAUUGUCGAGAACAUGUAAAACUAAACUGAAGACUUUCUCCUUCGUAUUCUUUACAAUAUAUGAGUAAGUGAUCUUGCACUUAAAUCGCUGACAAAUAAUUUUUGGAAAUUUUGAAAGAUCUAACAUCUACUUCUUAUUCAAAACACUUCAUAAAAAACUCUAAAACUCUCGAACUCAAGCCAACAAUCAAUGUUAAAUUUCACAAAUAUUACCUCUCUUCAAUAUUAUAAGAAACUAUUAUAUACUAUUAUUUGCGAAUUGAUUUUUCGCAUUUGAGUCCUCACGUUAAAAGAUAGAGUGAUUAAUAUCGUUCAUACCUUUAAUGAAUAAAAUAUAUAAAUUAGCAACAAAAUAAAAACGAAUUUAAAUUGUUUUGAUUCAAUAAGUGAUUAAAAUUAAUAAUAAUAAGAAAACCUAAUAUAUUUUUUUAAAAAUAAAAGAUAAUUCAUAUAUAUAUUGUGUUGUUAUCUGAAAAUACCUUGUAAUAAGAAAGUUAAAUUUAAAAAAAAAAAAACAGAAAACACAUAACUAAACAUUAAUCAAGUAAAAUUAUUAAUUUGAUAUAACUGAAAAGAGAACACUUA
rnacentral:lncRNA from 1 species